rnacentral:rRNA from 1 species
CAAUAGCGUAUAUUAAAGUUGUUGCGGUUAAAAGCUCGUAGUUGGAUUUCUGUCGAAAACGCGUGGUCCACUCUAUGAGUGCGCAUCUACGACGGUUUUGGCAUCCGGGAGUGUGUUACACGUCGCUUCACUGCGAUGUUGGUGCGCUCCUCUUUUACUUUGAGGAAAUUAGAGUGUUCACGGCAGGCAAUCGCCUUGAAUAUGUUAGCAUGGAAUAAUAAUAUAGGACCUUGGUUCUAUUUUGUUGGUUUCUAGAGCUAAGGUAAUGAUUAAUAGGGAUAAUUGGGGGCAUUCGUAUUAUCACGUCAGAGGUGGAAUUCUUGGAUUGUGUUACGACGAACUACUGCGAAAGCAUUUGCCAAGGAUGUUUUCAUUGAUCAAGAACGAAAGUAAGGGGAUCGAAGAUGAUUAGAUACCGU